UACGUAGGGGGCAAGCGUUGUCCGGAUUUAUUGGGCGUAAAGAGCGUGUAGGCGGCCAGGUAGGUGGGUUGUGAAAACUGGAGGCUCAACCUUCAGACGUCGACCCAAACCCCCUGGCUAGAGUCCGGGAGAGGAGAGUGGAAUUCCGAGUGUAGAGGUGAAAUUCGUAGAUAUUCGGAGGAACACCAGUGGCGAAGGCGGCUCACUGGCUCGACACUGACGCUGAGGUGCGAAAGCGUGGGGAGCAAACAGG
rnacentral:rRNA from 1 species